rnacentral:rRNA from 1 species
AGAGUUUGAUUCUGGCUCAGGACGAACGCUGGCGGCGUGCUUAACACAUGCAAGUCGAACGAUGAAGCCUAGCUUGCUAGGUGGAUUAGUGGCGAACGGGUGAGUAAUACGUGAGUAACCUACCUUUAACUCUGGGAUAAGCCUGGGAAACUGGGUCUAAUACCGGAUACGACCAAUCUCCGCAUGGGGUGUUGGUGGAAAGCGUUAUGUAGUGGUUAUAGAUGGGCUCACGGCCUAUCAGCUUGUUGGUGAGGUAACGGCUCACCAAGGCGACGACGGGUAGCCGGCCUGAGAGGGUGACCGGCCACACUGGGACUGAGACACGGCCCAGACUCCUACGGGAGGCAGCAGUGGGGAAUAUUGCACAAUGGGCGCAAGCCUGAUGCAGCGACGCCGCGUGAGGGAUGACGGCCUUCGGGUUGUAAACCUCUGUUAGCAGGGAAGAAGAGAGAUUGACGGUACCUGCAGAGAAAGCGCCGGCUAACUACGUGCCAGCAGCCGCGGUAAUACGUAGGGCGCGAGCGUUGUCCGGAAUUAUUGGGCGUAAAGAGCUUGUAGGCGGUUUGUCGCGUCUGCUGUGAAAGGCCGGAGCUUAACUCCGUGUAUUGCAGUGGGUACGGGCAGACUAGAGUGCAGUAGGGGAGACUGGAAUUCCUGGUGUAGCGGUGGAAUGCGCAGAUAUCAGGAGGAACACCGAUGGCGAAGGCAGGUCUCUGGGCUGUAACUGACGCUGAGAAGCGAAAGCAUGGGGAGCGAACAGGAUUAGAUACCCUGGUAGUCCAUGCCGUAAACGUUGGGCACUAGGUGUGGGGGACAUUCCACGUUUUCCGCGCCGUAGCUAACGCAUUAAGUGCCCCGCCUGGGGAGUACGGCCGCAAGGCUAAAACUCAAAGGAAUUGACGGGGGCCCGCACAAGCGGCGGAGCAUGCGGAUUAAUUCGAUGCAACGCGAAGAACCUUACCAAGGCUUGACAUAUACUGGACCGCAUCAGAGAUGGUGUUUCCCUUCGGGGCUGGUAUACAGGUGGUGCAUGGUUGUCGUCAGCUCGUGUCGUGAGAUGUUGGGUUAAGUCCCGCAACGAGCGCAACCCUCGUUCUAUGUUGCCAGCACGUUAUGGUGGGGACUCAUAGGAGACUGCCGGGGUCAACUCGGAGGAAGGUGGGGAUGACGUCAAAUCAUCAUGCCCCUUAUGUCUUGGGC